GCAUAAGAGGACACUGGCAAAGGCAGAGAUCAGCAUUUCCUGUUAAAUCUUCGAGCCUCGAUGAUGAAGCUGCGCAUGGAGCACACUGGAUAACUCGGGCUCUGGGAACCUGCAUCAGCUCAAUAGCCAACAAGUGGUACUGCAAGAGCCAGAGAUGAAAGCCUCGUGCAGCACCUGUGCUGCUCAAACCCUGGAUUUCGAGGCCAGUGAAGAACCAUGCAGACCUGCAGUCCGACCAGCGCUGGCACACGUCUGUCUGGGAUUUCCUGGGCUGUGCGAUGUGCACAUGUGCAGCACCACGCAGGCAGAGCAAACCAGAGGCUUCCGGCAUGGAUCAGAUCCCUGCACAUGUGCCGUGCAGAUGCUCCACGCUGGUGCAGUAAAUCUGCCAUUUCCUUACGCUGGGCUCUGCGAGCACCGCUGAACUCUGAGGUGCACAUGCACUGAGCCACCCCUAGGAGCCUGCUUAGGGCAACAUCCCAUAAUUCGGGUGGCAGCCCCAGCCACUGCAGCAUCCCUGGCUGGGCUUCCACGUGGCAGAUACCUCUGCACAUCCUCAGAAGCUGAUGGGGCAGAACCCGCAGGUGGGAGAGAAUACAUCUCCUGUCCUGAUUCAAUCCCCACCAAUCAUGGAGCACCCAGUGCAACCUCACGCAAAUUGCUCCCAUGGCUAAUUAGCUUCCAAGUACGUUAUUUCUCAUCUGAAUGUGUCUGUCUUCAGCUUCCAGCCACUGGAACUUCCUAGGCUUAUUCCUGAUACAUUAAAGAGCCAUCUGCGUUUGGAAAUCUCUUUC
rnacentral:lncRNA from 7 species